AACAAACGCUGGCGGCGUGCCUAAUACAUGCAAGUCGAACGGGGUAGCAGUACCUAGUGGCGCACGGGUGAGGAACGCGUGGAUAAUCUGCCUUAGAGUGGGGGAUAACUAGUCGGAAGAUUAGCUGAUACCGCAUAAGACCACAGGAGCUGCGGCUCUAGGGGUCAAAGGUUUUUCGCUCUAAGAUGAGUCCGCGUAAGAUUAGCUAGUUGGUGAGGUAACGGCUCACCAAGGCGACGAUCUUUAACUGGUCUGAGAGGAUGAUCAGUCACACUGGAACUGAGACACGGUCCAGACUCCUACGGGAGGCAGCAGUAGGGAAUAUUGCACAAUGGAGGAAACUCUGAUGCAGCGACGCCGCGUGAGUGAUGAAGGCCUUCGGGUCGUAAAGCUCUGUCGCAGGGGAAUAACACAAUGAAUGUACCCUGUAAGAAAGGAUCGGCUAACUUCGUGCCAGCCGCCGCAGUAAAAC
rnacentral:rRNA from 1 species